GGACUACUCGGGUAUCUAAUCCUGUUUGCUCCCCACGCUUUCGCACCUAAGUGUCAGUAUUGGUCCAGGAGGCCGCCUUCGCCACUGAUGUUCCUUCCGAUAUCUACGCAUUUCACCGCUACACCGGAAAUUCCACCUCCCUCUACCAUACUCCAGACAUCCAGUAUCGAAUGCGGUUCCCAGGUUAGGCCCGGGGCUUUCACAUCCGACUUAAAUAUCAACCUACAUGCGCUUUACGCCCAGUAAUUCCGAUUAACGCUUGCACCCUCUGUAUUACCGCGGCUGCUGGCAC
rnacentral:rRNA from 1 species